AGUUGAUUCAAUGUCUUUGUUAUUGUGAAUAGUGCUCCAGUGAACAUACAAGUGCAUGUGUCUUUUGGUAGAACCAUUUAUUUUCUUUUAGGUAUAUAACCAGUAAUGGAAUCACUGGGUCUAAUUGUAGUUCUGUUUUAAGUUUUUUGAGAAAUCUCCAAACUGCUCAGCCCCUGUGGAAAACAGUUUGGAGAUUUCUCAAAGAACUUAAAACAAGCUUGCAUUCCCACCAACAGUGUAUAAGCGUUCUCUUUUCUCCACACUCACCAACAUCUGUUUUUUUUUUCUUUCUUUUUUUUUUUUUUUGGCUUUUUAUUAAUAGCCAUUCUGACGGAUGUGAGAUGGCAUCUCAUUGUGGUUUUGAUUUUCAUUUCUCUGAUGAUUAGUGAUGUUGAGCAGUUUUUCAUGUAUUUGUUGGCCAUGCGUAUGUCUUAUUUUGAGAAGUAUCUGUUUAGUCCUUUGCCCAUUUUUAAUUGAAUUUUUUGUUUUUUACUUGUUCAAUUGUUUAAGUUCCUUACAGACUAUGAAUGUUAGACUUUUGUUAGAUGCACAGCUUACAAAUAUUUUCCUCCAUUCUGUAGGUUGUCUGUUUAUUCUGUUAGCUUCUUUUGCUGUGUAGAAGUUCUUUAGUUCAGUUAUGUCCCACUUGUCUAUUUUUGUUUUUGUUGCAGUUGCUUUUGGAGACUUAAUCACAAAUUUUUUGCCAAGGUAGAUGUCUACAAGGGUAUUUCCUAGGUUUUCUUCUAGGAUUUUUAUAAUUUUAAGUCUUAUAUUUGAAUCUUGAGUUAUUUUUGUAUAUGAUAAGAGGUAGGGGUCCAGUUUCAUUCUUCUGCAUAUGGUUAGCCAGUCAUCCCAGCACCAUGUAUUAAAAGGAGAGUCCUUUCCUCUUUGCUUGUUAUUAUCAACAUUGUUGAAGAUCAGAUGCUUGUAGGUGUGUGAUUUUAUUCCUGGUUUGUCUAUCCUGUUACACUGCUUUGUAUUUUUAUAUCAAUACCAUACUGUUUUGGUUACUGUAGCCUUGCAGUAUGGUUUAAAAUCAGGUAGUGUGAUGCCUUGGAUUGCUUUGCCUAAUUAGGUUCUGUUUUGGUUUUAUAUGAAUUAAAAUAGAUGUCUCUAAUUAAGUGAAAAAUAACAUUGUUAGUUCAUAAAUUGCUUUAGGCAGUAUCGUUAUUUUAAUGAUAU
rnacentral:lncRNA from 10 species